rnacentral:rRNA from 1 species
ACGGGAGACACACGGCGGGUGCUAACGUCCGUCGUGAAGAGGGAAACAACCCAGACCGCCAGCUAAGGUCCCAAAGUCAUGGUUAAGUGGGAAACGAUGUGGGAAGGCCCAGACAGCCAGGAUGUUGGCUUAGAAGCAGCCAUCAUUUAAAGAAAGCGUAAUAGCUCACUGGUCGAGUCGGCCUGCGCGGAAGAUGUAACGGGGCUAAACCAUGCACCGA